GGAAGAGAAUCGUCUCCGGUGGGACGUCCGGACUUCAAAUCCGGGAAGGGCUGUCAGACGGUCCUUGGUGGGUUCGACUCCCUCUCUCUUCCGCCA
rnacentral:tRNA from 1 species